GUAGAUAUCAGCUAACCCAGAAAUCUCCAGCACUCAGACUGUGGCAGUGCAGUGGAUGAAUGCUCCAUUCAGGAAUCCUCCCCACACAAGCAAACGAAUCUUGUAAAACCAGCUGCCUUUGAUUCUCCUUGUGCUUUGUCAUCACUGCUGGUUGAAGGCCUCCAAAUUUCAAUAUGCUAGCCCUGGAGGAUAACACUAGGCAUCUCAGGGCUUUGAUGGAUCCACUUUGGACUAUGGAAAUCUUAAUGUAUGUGUUAUCAACGUGGACUGGGCAGCCUCAAGUGAACCCAUUAAAAAAAGGACUGUCAAACACCCAACGCACAGAAAGUGGGGGAAAGAACAAAUUGUGCACACAAUAAAAUGGAUUCAGAACUGAAGUUUUACAAAACACACAAAGUUGGGCGUCACUACAGCUGGAGCCGGCCACACCUUCAGUUCAUCGCAAAACCGAGUAAACAUUGCCAGACCGCAGACGUGAAGCCAGAUAUCACUGCAGCUGGAGCAGGCCACAGCUCAGUUCAACAUGGAGCUGAAUAAAUG